rnacentral:rRNA from 1 species
AGUCUGGUGCCAGCAGCCGCGGUAAUACCAGCUCCAGUAGCGUAUAUUAAAGUUGUUGCAGUUAAAAAGCUCGUAGUUGAAAUUCUGUACGGAACGACGUCUUCGGAUGAUCGAGCCGUGCAUCCGCCUGAGCAGCAGGUCGGUACUUUGUUGCCGGUUUGUGAUCAGGCACUUUACCUUGAGCAAAUUAGAGUGUUCCAGGCAGGCGUCAGCCUGAAUAGUCCAGCAUGGAAUAAUAGAAGAGGACUGAAAACCACUGUUGGUGUUGUGGUAAUCAGUAAUGAUUAAUAGGGAUAGUUGGGGGCAUUCGUAUUUAAUUGUCAGAGGUGAAAUUCUAUGAUUUAUUAAAGACGAACCUAUGCGAAAGCAUUUGCCAAGGAUGUUUUCAUUAAUCAAGAACGAAAGUUAAGGGAUCAAAGACGAUCAGAUACCGUCGUAGUCUUAACCAUAAACUAUGCCGACUAGAGAUUGGAGGUGCAACUCCAAGACUCCUUCAGCAUCUUACGAGAAAUCAAAGUCUUCGGGUUCUGGGGGGAGUAUGGUCGCAAGACUGAAACUUAAAGGAAUUGACGGAAGGGCACCACCAGGUGUGGAGCCUGCGGCUUAAUUUGACCCAACACGGGGAAACUUACCAGGUCCAGACAUAGCGAGGAUUGACAGACUGACAGCUCUUUCUUGAUUCUAUGGGUGGUGGUGCAUGGCCGUUCUUAGUUGGUGGAGUGAUUUGUCUGGUUAAUUCCGAUAACGAACGAGACCUCAGCCUGCUAAAUAGUCAGAGUCCGAUUGGGCUUGUGACUUCUUAGAGGGACUGUGGGGGCUACUCCACGGAAGUUUGAGGCAAUAACAGGUCUGUGAUGCCCUUAGAUGUCCUGGGCCGCACGCGCGCUACACUGAUGCAGGCAGCAAGCACCGUGGCAGAAGUGUCUCGGAAAACUACAAACUGCAUCGUGCUGGGGAUUGACUCUUGGAACUCUUGGUCAUAAACGAGGAAUACCUAGUAAACGCAAGUCAUCAGCUUGCAUUGAUUACGUCCCUGCCCUUUGUACACACCGCCCGUCGCUCCUACCGAUUUGAGUGGUGCGGUGAACCCUUCGGACCGGUACGCCGGAAAGUUGAGUAAACCUUACCACUUAGAGGAAGGAGAAGUCGUAACAAGGUA